AUGCAGGUGAUGGAUGCUUGGGAGGAGGCAGUAGAAGAGCAGCGAAAAUGGCAACAGGAGAAGGGAUGGCAAACACCUAAAUGGGACAGGAACUGGGUAGCUGAGAACUGUUUCAGUUGGGAAGCCCUGCGAGCUGAAUUUCAGAAGUGGCAAGAAAGUAGUACAGGUAGUGGGAAGGAGGAGAAGGGGUCCUUCAUCGGUCUCCUCACAGAGGCGUUAGCAGCUGCAGGCACUUUGUUUAAAACUACAAGGCAGAAACUGGAAACUGCCACUCAAGGGGCUUUGCAGCAAGCUACAGCUACAGCAGCACACGCUAAAGGUGAAGAAACGCAGGCGGCUGCCUUUGAGUCUUGUAGUUUUACUAAGAGCCACUUAAUUCAACAGUUAGAAAGUAACCUCGCACCUCUGGCUUUAAGCCAGCUGGAGCAAGAACAGGUGCAGCCAGUCUCCGACAGUAAGAUCAUUGAAGAAACGCAUAUACUGAAUACUGAUAAUGAGGAGGAUUCUGAUUUUAGCAACGGGCUGUUCACCCCCACCUCAAUACCUGAAUCUAAUCCAGAUGAAAAUGCCUCUCUGUGCCCAAUCACACAGCUCCCAACUCCAGGUGGUCAUGAAAGCUCUCUCCUGCCACCUCAGGUCGCGAUGACCGAGAUAAAUCUGAAUGCAGGACAGCUAUGGCAGAAGUUCAUACAGUUUGGCAAGAAGUCAAGUGAGGACUGGCUCGGGUGGGUGGCACGAUGCUAUCAGAUGGGAGCCGGAGCUCUUAUUCUUAAUCAGAACGAGGCUAGACAAAUAUUCCUAGGAGGUGGAAUAGUUCUUCACAACCCUGAUGCAGAGGCUGGAAAAAAUACCUUUUCUCUAUUAUCUUCAAUAAUACAUGCUGUUAGACGAAUGCAAGUACGGUGGGGAUACAGUCCACCUCCUCCCUGGAAUACCCGGGAUGGGUUUGCCAAGUGGACAAUGAGACUGGCUGCCUGGGAUGCCCUUAAGGCACAAGGUGCUAUACCUGAGGACAUGAUGUCUCUGAUGGCGACAGAAGCAGGGAAAACGAGACUAUUAGAAAAUGCAGCAUAUGGAGGAGCAAAGGGUUUAGCUUUAAUGUUAUACAGUAGGACUUAUGACUGGAACACUAUAAUGGCUCAAGGUCUGCAGCACUGGGUAGCCUUCAUGAAAAGCACCCCUAAAUCAACAGCUCACCAGAGGGAAGGAUGGGUCAGGAACACCCAGACACCAAGAGGGAAUUACAAAAAAGGACAAAAUGUUCGUAAAUUCCCCGCUGAAAUAAACCGAUUCAAUACAAGAAGAGACCCUGAUAAACAGGAACGAGAUCUGGAACGGAGGAAGCACUUAUGGGGUCUCCUGCAGGGAAUAGGAUUCACACCAGGUCAAUUAAACAAAAUGCCCACAUCCUACUUACAGAGACUGUGGGAUAAUCGCAAAAUAGAUUGUGACAGCACCCCGAGUGUGAGUGCUGAGAAUGUGCCGGACAAUAUCGAGUCAUCUGCUCCCCUGAUCCCAAUCCCAGAUGAUCCAUCCACUUCUCUGGUCUCUGUGUCAGGAAACUGA
ensembl:lncRNA